UACGUAGGGGGCAAGCGUUGUCCGGAAUCAUUGGGCGUAAAGAGCGCGUAGGCGGCCCUGUAAGUCCGCUGUGAAAGUCAAGGGCUCAACCCUUGAAUGCCGGUGGAUACUGCAGGGCUAGAGUCCGGAAGAGGCGAGUGGAAUUCCUGGUGUAGCGGUGAAAUGCGCAGAUAUCAGGAGGAACACCAGUGGCGAAGGCGACUACCUGGCCUGUUCUUGACGCUGAGGCGCGAAAGCUAGGGGAGCAAACGGG
rnacentral:rRNA from 1 species